rnacentral:tRNA from 1 species
GGGAACGUGGCUCAGUGGCAGAGUGCUUGCCUGCCAUGCAUCAGGCCCUGGGCUCAAUCCCCAGCAUUACAA